rnacentral:rRNA from 1 species
UACGUAGGGGGCAAGCGUUGUCCGGAUUUAUUGGGCGUAAAGAGCGUGUAGGCGGCCAGACAGGUCCGUUGUGAAAACUCGAGGCUCAACCUCGAGAUGUCGAUGGAAACCGUCUGGCUAGAGUCCGGAAGAGGAGUGUGGAAUUCCUGGUGUAGCGGUGAAAUGCGCAGAUAUCAGGAAGAACACCUAUGGCGAAGGCAGCACUCUGGGACGGUACUGACGCUGAGACACGAAAGCGUGGGUAGCAAACAGG